rnacentral:rRNA from 1 species
CGGCGGACGGGUGAGUAACACGUAGGUAACCUGCCCAUAAGACUGGGAUAACCCACGGAAACGUGAGCUAAUACCAGAUAGGCAUCUUCUUCGCAUGAAGGAGAUGAGAAAGACGGUUUCGGCUGUCACUUAUGGAUGGACCUGCGGCGCAUUAGCUAGUUGGUGAGGUAACGGCUCACCAAGGCGACGAUGCGUAGCCGACCUGAGAGGGUGAUCGGCCACACUGGGACUGAGACACGGCCCAGACUCCUACGGGAGGCAGCAGUAGGGAAUCUUCCGCAAUGGGCGAAAGCCUGACGGAGCAACGCCGCGUGAGUGAUGAAGGUUUUCGGAUCGUAAAGCUCUGUUGCCAAGGAAGAACGCUCAGGAGAGUAACUGCUCUUGAGGUGACGGUACUUGAGAAGAAAGCCCCGGCUAACUACGUGCCAGCAGCCGCGGUAAUACGUAGGGGGCAAGCGUUGUCCGGAAUUAUUGGGCGUAAAGCGCGCGCAGGCGGCGAUGUAAGUUGGGUGUUUAAACCUAGGGCUCAACCUUGGGUCGCAUCC